AGUAAAACGAGGGUAUAAUAACAAUUAAUAGGAAAACUUUAAUAACUAAUUAUGACGCUAAAAAUUAAGUAAAUACGCGUAAAACUAUAUCUAAAAGGAAAAACUACAGUAGUUAUAUAUUAACAAUAGAAGACAAUAAGAGAACCAAAAUUAAACCAAAAGGAAAAUAUAAUUGAUAUUUUCAAAAACAGACCACAAAAAUAAAUAUUAAAACCAAAAGUUAAAGGAAAGAAAUGAUUUUAAAA
rnacentral:misc_RNA from 1 species